AGUUGAAGUCCAAUCAACUUGAAACUUAGUACACUUGUUUCCCAUGAUAUGAUCUUUCUAAUGUUAAUGCCAAAUUAUAGUUUUGACCCCAAUUUCAUGGUCCACUGAACAUAGAAAAUGAUAGUGCGAAGUUCAGGUUAAAGUUUUUGGUCAAGGUAGUUUUUGAUGAAGUUAAAGUUACAUCAACUUGAAACUUAGUACACAUGUUCCCUAUGAUAUGAUCUUUCUAAUUUUAGUUCCAAAUUAAAGUUUUGACCCCAAUUUCACGGUCC
rnacentral:lncRNA from 1 species